UUCGGAAACGGACGCUAAUACCGCAUACGUCCUACGGGAGAAAGCAGGGGACCUUCGGGCCUUGCGCUAUCAGAUGAGCCUAGGUCGGAUUAGCUAGUUGGUGAGGUAAUGGCUCACCAAGGCGACGAUCCGUAACUGGUCUGAGAGGAUGAUCAGUCACACUGGAACUGAGACACGGUCCAGACUCCUACGGGAGGCAGCAGUGGGGAAUAUUGGACAAUGGGCGAAAGCCUGAUCCAGCCAUGCCGCGUGUGUGAAGAAGGUCUUCGGAUUGUAAAGCACUUUAAGUUGGGAGGAAGGGCAUUAACCUAAUACGUUAGUGUUUUGACGUUACCGACAGAAUAAGCACCGGCUAACUCUGUGCCAGCAGCCGCGGUAAUACAGAGGGUGCAAGCGUUAAUCGGAAUUACUGGGCGUAAAGCGCGCGUAGGUGGUUUGUUAAGUUGGAUGUGAAAUCCC
rnacentral:rRNA from 1 species